GCGCGCGGGCGCGGGGGCGGGGCGGCGCGGCGCGCGCGGCGCUUACUGUCCAGGGAACAAGCCCAGGAGCUCAAAUAUGCAAAGGAAACACUUCAUUGCUGAGCUACAUCCCUGGUACAACUUUUUCCUAUCUUUAAUUGGACUACUGGUUUUCUGCUGCCGGGUUUUGUGCUCCACUGCCUCCCGCCAUGCUGAGUCCCUGGCUAACACCAAGGUUCCAGGAGCCACGCAUCAGAGCCCAUGGAACAAAGCAGAGAGGACGGGAGGACGCCCCCAAGACCCAGCUGGAGUAUUGGGGGGAACACCCAGCAGUACUCCACUCUUGUGGUGCUCAGGGGACCACCUGGGGUGCAGGGAUCCAACCCAGGCUGCAGAGUUCCAGGGUGCCCAGGAGGAAAGUACAAAGACUC